AACCUAACUUGAAAAAAUUGAAAUCUAAACUAACUUUAAAUUUGUAACUGUCUGAAAUGUUAUGGAAACCUUUCCAUACAUGACAAUAGACAUCUGCAGAAGAG